GUACUUUCUUCGGCAGUACAUGGAGUAACAGUGGAGCGAUAUAGAGAAGAACAGCGUGGCCUUUGUUCAAGGGUGACACGCAAAAUUUUUUAACGUUCCACAUUUUA